UUUAUUGAGAGUUUGAUCCUGGCUCAGGAUUAACGUUGGCGGCGUGCCUAAUACAUGCAAGUCGAAUGGGUUUAGACCCAUGGCAAACGGGUGAGUAACACGUGGGUACUUGCCCCUGACUCGGAAAUAACCUGCCGAAAGGUGGAAUAAUGUCCGAUAUUCUUACAUUGGUUCGCUUUUGUAAGGAAAGAUUUAUCGGUCAGGGAGAGCCCUGCGUCCUAUCAGCUUGUUGGUGGGGUAAUGGCCUACCAAGGCAAUGACGGGUAGCUGGUUUGAGAGGACGACCAGCCACACUGGAACUGAGACACGGUCCAGACU
rnacentral:rRNA from 1 species